rnacentral:rRNA from 1 species
UACGUAGGGUGCAAGCGUUAAUCGGAAUUACUGGGCGUAAAGCGUGCGCAGGCGGUUAUGCAAGACAGAUGUGAAAUCCCCGGGCUCAACCUGGGAACUGCAUUUGUGACUGCAUGGCUAGAGUACGGUAGAGGGGGAUGGAAUUCCGCGUGUAGCAGUGAAAUGCGUAGAUAUGCGGAGGAACACCGAUGGCGAAGGCAAUCCCCUGGACCUGUACUGACGGCUCAUGCACGAAAGGCGUGGGGAGCAAACAGG